GCGACUUCUACCAGUACGACAUUGAUGCUAACACGUGGACACUGCUCAGCGAGGACACCUCUGCAGAUGGAGGACCUAAACUUGUGUUCGACCACCAGAUGUGCAUGGACUCUGAGAAGCACAUGAUCUACACGUUUGGUGGUCGGAUUUUGACGUGUAAUGGCAGUGUUGACGACGGACACAAGUCAGAGCCACAGUUCAGCGGUCUGUAGCAGGCACCUGGAGCCUUCUGAGGGACGACUCGUGCAACGCCGGCCCUGAGGAUGUGCAGUCUCGCAUUGGACACUGCAUGUUAUUUCACACGCUUGGUGUUACCUUGCCAUCUGCCAUGAUGAAUCUCUGUGAGGACCGUGAGGUGAUUGUUGGUGCCUCCCCUGUUAGUCGUUGCCAGAGGUUUAUGAUACUUACUGUAGUAUCAUGGGAAUCAUUCUUUCUUUUUCUUUCUUUCUGUAUUUUUUUUAACUUUUGUAUUUUUACAUUACUCAAAAAUUAUUUUUUGUAAAUACUUUUUUUAUUUUUUUACAGA